CCUACGGGUGGCAGCAGUGAGGAAUAUUGGUCAAUGGGCGCGAGCCUGAACCAGCCAAGUAGCGUGAAGGAUGACUGCCCUACGGGUUGUAAACUUCUUUUAUAAAGGAGUAAAGUGAGGCACGUGUGCCUUUUUGUCUGUACUUUAUGAAUAAGGAUCGGCUAACUCCGUGCCAGCAGCCGCGGUAAUACGGAGGAUCCGAGCGUUAUCCGGAUUUAUUGGGUUUAAAGGGCGCGUAGAUGGGUUGUUAAGUCAGUUGUGAAAGUUUGCGGCUCAACCGUAAAAUUGCAAUUGAUACUGGCAGUCUUGAGUACAGUUGAGGUAGGCGGAAUUCGUGGUGUAGCGGUGAAAUGCUUAGAUAUCACGAAGAACUCCGAUUGCGAAGGCAGCCUACUAAACUGCCACUGACAUUGAGGCUCGAAAGUGUGGGUAGCAAACAGGAUUAGAUACCCUGGUAGUC
rnacentral:rRNA from 1 species